rnacentral:rRNA from 1 species
UUGAACGCUGGCGGAAUGCUUUACACAUGCAAGUCGAGCGGCAGCGCGGGGCAACCUGGCGGCGAGCGGCGAACGGGUGAGUAAUAUAUCGGAACAUAUCCUGUCGUGGGGGAUAACUAAUCGAAAGGUUAGCUAAUACCGCAUACGACCUGAGGGAGAAAGCGGGGGCUCGCAAGACCUCGCGCGAUUGGAGUGGCCGAUAUCGGAUUAGCUAGUUGGUGAGGUAAAGGCUCACCAAGGCGACGAUCCGUAGCUGGUCUGAGAGGACGACCAGCCACACUGGAACUGAGACACGGUCCAGACUCCUACGGGAGGCAGCAGUGGGGAAUUUUGGACAAUGGGCGCAAGCCUGAUCCAGCCAUGCCGCGUGAGUGAAGAAGGCCUUCGGGUUGUAAAGCUCUUUCAGACGGAAAGAAAUCGGGCGGGUGAAUAGCCUGCCUGGAUGACGGUACUGUCAGAAGAAGCACCGGCUAACUACGU